UUGAUAUCUCCCCAGUAAAGUCAUAAUUGCAGUGAAGGACAUGAUAGAGAUUCUCAAAAACAGAGUGCUGGGGAAGACAGGGGGGUAGACAGAAAACAGCACAGGGUCUGAGAACAAGAAGUCCCAGAUUUACAUUUUCCAAACGCCAUUGACGUAUGUGAAAGAAAACACAGAUGAUAAAUUCUCAUUCUCAGGGCCCAUUUCAAGACAUAACUUCAUUAGUCCUAUCAGGCCUGUCGUCCAUUGUGCUCCCAUUUCUACCUCCCCCAACAGAUGAAUGAUACUUUUCACAUUUUCAGCAGUUUUACAAAGCAGCGCUUUUUGUGCACCCAAUCUGCAGGUGCAGCAAAGACCUUGGCAAGGGGCAAACUGAUUAUCACUUAUGAAAACAGUUACACUGUAUUGUUCAUACUACUUCAAGGUCUUGAGCAAAGCAUAAAUUCUCAAGAAAACGAAGUUAUUGCAGUUCAAGAAUCAGACAGCUAACCAGGUAUCUUGGCAGUGGAAGUGUAGACGCUGUCUUGGCUUUUUAUUUGUUCAGAAAAAAAAAAAGCAGUCAUUAAACACACAAUGUUUCCGUCAGAAUACUUUUAUUUUCUCUAAACAGCAAUAUAUCACAUCAAUGAUGGGGAAAAAUAUUACUACUAUGAAACAAUGUACAUACUGCAAACCAAAUAAGAAACUAAUGUUUUAGUCACAAAGUUUGCAUUGCCCUGCAUUACAAAUUCUAACAAGUCAUGCAAAGCUAUGUGCUUAGAAAAAGCAAAACUCUGUGCAUUACAAGUCAUUUUACUCAAUGGCUAUUUUUAUGUUAUACUAUUCAAGCCUAUAUGAAUAUUUUAGAAGUUACAGUUUUAUUUGUAACGUAAUAGUGUCAGAAAACUGUUCUAUUUGCAUGUCACUUUUUUUCUUAUAUUAAAAGGCAAUAAAAAAAUUGCAUCCACAACUGUA